GGAAAGAUGGCUGAGUUGGUCUAAGGCGCACGACUGGAAAUCGUGUAACGUGUAAAAGCGUUCCGGGGUUCGAAUCCCCGUCUUUCCGCCA
rnacentral:tRNA from 2 species